UGUGUGUAUGUGUGUGUGUGUGUGUGUGUGUGUGUGUGUGUGUGUUGGGGUUUACUCCAUGCAGAUACUCAGAGACCAAAACUC
rnacentral:miRNA from 10 species